rnacentral:misc_RNA from 1 species
UAGGGUUCAGAUCGGCAUAUACUUGUUGCUGCAGACAUGAGACGUCCUUGCGUCGUUGGAUGUGCAAGUGACACGGUCUAUAUGUAGCUGCUCCUCGAUGCAAAGUGGAAAGGGAAGAAGUGCAUUUCAGAGAUAGGAUACCACCGACUAUAUGAUAACGUGCUCGUGCACGUAUGUGACAUGCAGGGGAGGGACGCACGUCCGGACGCCUCUACAGCCUCGUCCUCGUGGAGUCUGCAAGGGAAAACCACGUUAAACAGUUCUAUACCCACCGUCUUCUGGUAGGAGUAGGAUAGGCAGCGGUGGUACACGUGCCG